GACGAACGCUGGCGGCGUGCCUAAUACAUGCAAGUAGAACGCUGAAGGAGGAGCUUGCUUCUCUGGAUGAGUUGCGAACGGGUGAGUAACGCGUAGGUAACCUGCCUGGUAGCGGGGGAUAACUAUUGGAAACGAUAGCUAAUACCGCAUAAUAGUAGAUGUUGCAUGACAUUUGCUUAAAAGGUGCAAUUGCAUCACUACCAGAUGGACCUGCGUUGUAUUAGCUAGCUGGUGGGGUAACGGCUCACCAAGGCGACGAUACAUAGCCGACCUGAGAGGGUGAUCGGCCACACUGGGACUGAGACACGGCCCAGACUCCUACGGGAGGCAGCAGUAGGGAAUCUUCGGCAAUGGACGGAAGUCUGACCGAGCAACGCCGCGUGAGUGAAGAAGGUUUUCGGAUCGUAAAGCUCUGUUGUAAGAGAAGAACGAGUGUGAGAGUGGAAAGUUCACACUGUGACGGUAUCUUACCAGAAAGGGACGGCUAACUACGUG
rnacentral:rRNA from 1 species